AUACAUCCUACUUUUCAUUCAACCUUGGUAUUAAUAAAACUGGUUUCAUUUUGUGUUGGGAUGGGAUAGUUGUGCUCUGAUGGUGUGCUCGGAUAGUGUUGCAGUUUUUAUGUUUUUGUAUCAGGAACAUGAGUAUAAAGCAUAAGGAGUCUGCAGUUUAUCUUUUCGCUUGGGUCUUUGAUCUUCUUCUAUCAAUGAGAUCUUUAUUGAUUGGUGUUUUGAUAUGCUUUUUUGGAAUAUAGAUAUCAAGAAUUUCACAGUUCUCUCUACUCUUCUUUUAUGGAUCGUUUUUUUCAAAAAUUAUGUUUAUUUUCGAACUAUUGGUUCUAGUUCUUCAUAAGUAGAUAACGGAGAUAUAUGUUUAAUUUGCAGCAGGUGGCGGAAUUCCGAAAAACUGUGAACAUUUUGUGAUUCUUGACACAACGGAUAUGAACGGAGAAUUGCUUCAAAUAGAUGAAUCGAAUUUCUUCAAUGAUUCAUUCUUUAUUGUUUUCAAUUUCAAGUUUUAGAUUAUGAGAAGAAUUGAACUGUGAACUUGCUUUUUCUGCAGCUUGGUUUGUCUAAGUAAUAACCUCCUGAGUAUGGAAGCUUGAGAAUUUUCUGGUGAUCUCUAUCUAGUAAAUUCGUCCGUUCAAUGCCCGAGAGCAUAUAUUUCACACUCUCUCAUACUUUUCUUGACUCUUCUUUUACGAUUAGUUAACGAGUAUUAUUUUUCGAUAUAACUCUUACUUUGAUAAUCGAAGAUCAAGUCUUGAAAUCUAGGAGACGUAAUGUAACGGGGAACGGCUCUUGAUAGAUAAAUGAUUUUUCUUGAACGAGUCCUUUAUCAAUUUAAUUUAUGAUGGUUUCUUUCGUAUCAAGAGUGUUGUAGCUGUGGCCACACAACCCUUUCGUUCUUAUCGCUCCGGGAAUUGAAUUUGAACAUGUUUUUUUGCAGCACUGUCUGUCAAACUGUUAACUUCCUUCACAGCAGAGCAUGGCAUAUUUAUUUGGUGAUAUCUAUCAUAAUCUUUUUGUUUUCAAUAUUUCUUUAACUACUCGAGUAUGAAUAUAUCUUAUUCAUGAACAUGUUUUUCUGCAGCGUGGUUUGUCAGAGUAUAACGUUAUUCAUAGCAUGGAGCUUCUAGAUUUGAUUUGGUGAUAUCUAGUAAAUCUUUUUUUUCUAUGUCGAUUUAAAGAAUGCAAUUAUGAUUUCUUGAUUUGGUGUUCUAGUUUCUUGAUUCUUUGAUCUGUUAUUGCUUAAAUUCAGUGAUUGUUAAGAUAUACUUUCAACAGAAUUUCACACAAUCACAUAUCUAGGGGUAUUUCUAGAUAUAUUACUCAAAAGAAUCGACACAAUACACCCAAUCGAUGUGAAUUGAGAAAAUUCUGUCCCUUUUGUUGCAAACCAAUCCCUCCCAAUUCACAUCUUUGUUGAAAUUUUUUUUUUUGUAAUUCCGUACAUAAAGAUUCCGGAAAUAUGGGAUCUCCGCCUACACAAGCAAAUUGUCGAUAAAACUCCAAAAUGGCAUUUUCUUUUGACCCUAUUUUUUUUUCCUCCUUUUCAAUGAGGAAAGACAUAAAAAUUUCGGGGUAGCAAACGUUCUCAAGAAUUUCGCUUAAAUUCGAACCCAUUGCUGAUGAUAGAACUAGAAUAGAUAUUUUCUGUUUCCUACUUACACGAGCCCUUAUUCUUUUACAUAAAAAUUUCUUAAAAUUCAUAUAUAAUUAAUUCUUCAUUUGAUAAUCGAGAGAUCGUUUAUCAGUUUUGCAGUGAAACAUCUUGAUACAAGGCACAAGAAAGGCCCCAGCUAGAUAAAUUAAAUUUCUUUAAUUAAUAGUGGUUCUUAAUUAUUUUAAUUUGAUUGGAAAACAUACAAUUGAAUAUUGAACAUCUUAAUUAUUCUGCAGCGUGGUGGGUGGUUUGCAAACUAAAGCAUGGAUUUGAUUUGGUGAUGUCUGUUAAAUUAUUUGUUUUCAAAAUUUCUUCAUUGUUAUUUAUGUAUUACAUUGAAUCAGUUGAUAUUUUUUGAUUUGGUCUCUUUGGUGUUUCAGGAGAAAUAUCUAUGAAAACACGCUUCUUUGUGAGGUUUUGAUUUUGGUGAUUAUUUAUUAAUUUUAAUGCAAGACAGCAAAAUUGAAUCAAUGACUUUCUUUUUCAGCUUGGUUUUGUCAAAAUAUUAACCUCCUUCAUAGCAUAGAACCUCAAAUUUUUCUCCUUACUUCAUAAAUAUCAAAGCAUGGUUUGUCAAAAUAAUUGAACUGCGAACAUGCUUUUUCAGCAGCCUGGUUUGUUUAAAUAAUAACCUACUUCAGAGUAUGGAGCCUUUAGUAUUUUUCUGGUGAUCUCUAGAAAUUUCAUUUAUUCAAUCUUUGUGUUAUUUUUCAAAAUAACUUCAUUUGAUAAUUGAAGACCUUUAAUCCGUUGUACUGCAAGCAGGGAACUCGGAACUCUAGAUAUCUAGAACACUUGAUUCAAUGGACAAGAACGAGGAACAACAUCCGAUAGAUAGAUGAUGUUUCUUCAAUGAGUCAUUUAUUAACUUGAUUUAUGGGCUUUUAACAAAUUGAAUUUUGAACAUGUUUUUCUGCAGCACGGUCUGUCAAAUCUAAUAACUUUCUUCGCAUCAUAGCGUUUUUAUAUGGUGAUAUCUAUCAUAAUUCUUUGUUUACAAUAUUUCUUUCACUGCUAAGAGUAUGAAUAUUUCUUGAUUGGUUACUUUUUGGUGUUGCUGAGAGUAUGAAUAUUUCUUCAUUCGUUACUUUUUGGUGUUGCAGGAGCAAUAAUCUGUGACAUUCUCUUGUUUGAUCCUCAUGUGUUGUAUUCUUAUUCUUUGUGAUUAAUUAUUCGGUAUCUUAACUUUUGCAGUUACAAUUGAUUAAUUGUUCUUGAAUUCCUCUGUUACAACUAACAUUAUUCUUGGUAGACCGAUGUUGUUUUGCAUUUAUGGUAUUGCUAUAUGAGUAAUAGGAAAUAGUAAUGUUUUGCGGAACUUGGAAAGAUGACUGGAGUUCUGAUAUGAAUUUUCUGUUUUGGAUGUUGCCAAUUGAGUUUCAU